CUGGGAUCCCAUGGCUCUUCUGAGUGGCCUCUAGCACCUGUGUGCCAUGCAGCAUCAGUCCAAAUCUGCCCCAGUUGGGUACCUGUGCCACAGUAGCCCAGGAGGCCCUUCUGCCUGGUGUCACCCACCCUGAUGUGAGCCCCGGAGCAGUCUCAACUCAAACUGAACUCAACUCCCAACGUGCCACUAACAUUCUUCAGGAACUCAGUGUGUCCACCUGUCACCUGGGGAUGGCGAGAAUGCCUGUCCCUGUGCCGCAGUAAAGAUCCACUGAGACCAGUUCGCCCCCAGUGAGCGCGGGUCGGGACAGACGCUGCCCAGGCCUGGCGGGGACAGAGGGACACAACCUGCAGGCCUCAUCCCUGGGGAGGCACCGAUGGGGGCGGGAGCCUGUGUUCCCUACAGAGGAAUAAGUCACACGUCUCCAUGGCAGUGGCACUCCCCGAACAUGUGAGCAUUCUUUAUGGCACCUGGCCAUAGAACACCAGAACUGCUAAACCACCUGUUCCCAGGCAAUGAAUCUGCCAAGAAAAGCACUAGUGGCUGCACCUCGCUUCAAAACUAACGGCUGAUUUUUGGAGAGUAUCUGGACAAUUCCUUUAGAUCACAGGUUGGCCAACUUCCAUAAAGGGCCAGACAGUAAAUAUUUUCACUUCUGUAGGCAGACAGCAUCUGUUGCCAACUACUCAACUCUGCCACUCUGGGCGAAAGCACC